CAGUAGCCGCGGGAAUACGUAGGUGGCAAGCGUUGUCCGGAUUUACUGGGCGUAAAGCGAACGCAGGCGGAUAGGUCAGUCUGUCUUAAAAGUUCGGGGCUUAACCCCGUGAUGGGAUGGAAACUGCCAAUCUAGAGUAUCGGAGAGGGAAGUGGAAUUCCUAGUGUAACGGUGAAAUGCGUAGAUAUUAGGAAGAACACCAGUGGCGAAGGCGACUUUCUGGACGAAAACUGACGCUGAGGCGCGAAAGCCAGGGGAGCGAACGGGAUUAGAUACCCCGGUAGUCCCUGUCUCAUAUACA
rnacentral:rRNA from 1 species